AUUUUCAUUAGCAGUAUUAGUUUGGUUUUAUAAAGGUUUAUUGAGCUUCUACAAAGUACUUAUCACUGGACAAAUAAAUAUUUUCCUUUAAUGAGGGGCUAUUGGCAAAGAGUGGGUGAGGAGGAAAACAAGUAUGACUACAUUACACUAGCCACAUUUUAGAAUCUAUUUUUGCCUAAAGGCUUGUUCCAAAUGAUAGAUGCUUUCUAACAUGUAAAUGGGUUGAUUUUUUUAUAUGCACUGUUUAUUAAGCCACCUAGAAACCUCUAAUAAUCAAGAGUUUGUGAUACUUAGUUGGUGAUCUAUUUAUUGUUUCAUUUGUUUAUUCAUUCAACACAAAUUUGUUUAUAAUCCUCUAUCCUGUUGGCAAGGAUUACUCGAUUCCAGGCUUACCUCUCUGAUUAACUUGUAUCUGAAUAAUAGCUCAGUAAUUGUCACAAUCCAGAUGUUGGAGAUCAGGGCAGAUUCCAAGGGCAGUUACAUCAUUCUCAUCUCUGGGAAUUCUAAGAAUACACUGGUGGAACAUGGGAAAAAUAUGCCAGAGGGGCAUAUUUUAAAGGGCUCUAAUUUAGGAUUUAAAAAUUGCAUUGCCGCAGUAUAGGGAAAAUAUGUUUAUUACCUCACAGCAGCUUUUUUGUUGCCAAAGGAAAUUGUUGGCUUUGUUGUUUGCUACAUGGAAUGUGUAACCUUUUCCCCCUAAGCUUUGUCUUAGUCUCUUUUCAGCAGUACAUUCCUUUUCCUUUCCUCUGUUUAAAAUCUCACCACUGUCAUACCCAUUCUCUUUGCAGAGCUAACAAUGACUAACAGAACUGACUCUGCUUCUGUUGCAGUUUUUUUUUUUUUCCUCAUGUUUGUGGGUACGCAGUAGGUUUAUAUAUUUAUGGGGCAGAUGAGAUGUUUUGAUACAGGCAUGCAAUAAAACAAUUUCUUUAUACAAAAAGCAAAGCAAAACUUACUAAACAGACUUUUAAGAGGAGAUUUUACUCUUAUUCUUUA